rnacentral:rRNA from 1 species
GGCGUAACGGGUUGAGUAACACGUGAGUAACCUGCCCCAGACUCUGGGAUAACCCCGGGAAACCGGAGCUAAUACCGGAUAUGACCCUCGUACGCAUGUGCAGGGGGUGGAAAGUUUUUUCGGUCUGGGAUGGGCUCGCGGCCUAUCAGCUUGUUGGUGAGGUAGUGGCUCACCAAGGCGACGACGGGUAGCCGGCCUGAGAGGGCGACCGGCCACACUGGGACUGAGACACGGCCCAGACUCCUACGGGAGGCAGCAGUGGGGAAUAUUGCACAAUGGGCGGAAGCCUGAUGCAGCGACGCCGCGUGAGGGAUGACGGCCUUCGGGUUGUAAACCUCUUUCAGCAGGGAAGAAGCGCAAGUGACGGUACCUGCAGAAGAAGCACCGGCUAACUACGUGCCAGCAGCCGCGGUAAUACGUAGGGUGCGAGCGUUGUCCGGAAUUAUUGGGCGUAAAGAGCUUGUAGGCGGUUUGUCGCGUCUGCUGUGAAAAUCCGGGGCUCAACCCCGGACUUGCAGUGGGUACGGGCAGACUAGAGUGUGGUAGGGGAGACUGGAAUUCCUGGUGUAGCGGUGGAAUGCGCAGAUAUCAGGAGGAACACCGAUGGCGAAGGCAGGUCUCUGGGCCACUACUGACGCUGAGAAGCGAAAGCAUGGGGAGCGAACAGGAUUAGAUACCCUGGU